rnacentral:rRNA from 1 species
CGGUGUUUAACUGGCGUGAUGUGGGACGUCCUACCGGUGGGCUUAGCCUCGCGAGGGGCGGCCCAACUAAUAUCCCGUCGCGGUGCUCUUUACUGAGUGUCGAGUCGGGCCGGUACGUUUACUUUGAACAAAUUAGAGUGCUUAAAGCAGGCUAUCCUCGCCUGAAUACUGCGUGCAUGGAAUAAUGGAAUAGGACCUCGGUUCUAUUUUGUUGGUUUUCGGAACCCCGAGGUAAUGAUUAAUAGGGACAGAUGGGGGCAUUCGUAUUGCGACGUUAGAGGUGAAAUUCUUGGAUCGUCGCAAGACGGACAGAAGCGAAAGCAUUUGCCAAAAAUGUUUUCAUUAAUCAAGAACGAAAGUUAGAGGUUCGAAGGCGAUCAGAUACCGCCCUAGUUCUAACCAUAAACGAUGCCAGCUAGCGAUCCGCCGAAGUUCCUCCGAUGACUCGGCGGGGCAGCUUCCGGGAAACCAAAGCUUUUGGGUUCCGGGGGGAAGUAUGGUUGCAAAGCUGAAACUUAAAGGAAUUGACGGAAGGGCACCACCAGGAGUGGAGCCUGCGGCUUAAUUUGACUCAACACGGGAAACCUCACCAGGCCCAGACACCGGAAGGAUUGACAGAUUGAUAGCUCUUUCUUGAUUCGGUGGGUGGUGGUGCAUGGCCGUUCUUAGUUGGUGGAGCGAUUUGUCUGGUUAAUUCCGAUAACGAACGAGACUCUAGCCUGCUAAAUAGGCGUACCUUAUGGUAUCGCGAAGGCCCCCGGCUUCGGCCGGUGGGUUUUUACUACCAACGUACAAACAAAUCUUCUUAGAGGGACAGGCGG